UGAGAUAGCUGGUAGUUCAAACAGCCAAUUGCAGAUGUCGAAAACACGUACUAACGUCUUCAGAAGACGACAUGCACUGAGUAAGAGCGCGUGUAGUAACAGCCCGCGUACUGCGUGUGUUUCAACUAUACUAAUGGCUACGUACAUUAAAGUGUGCCUCAUCCUCUCUAUGUUGGUAAUUCCUGCACUGGGUGGAGGGCAAGAACAAAAGAAAAAGAUAAAAGGAUGUGUACCGAGUAAAUCUGGAGCUCAAACAGCUGUGGAACCAACAGAUCCUACGAGUUGUCAGUUUCAGAAAUGCCAAACACCCUGCCCAGUUGCGAAAUCAGACUGGUUCUAUAAUGCGCAUGACAACUUCUGUUAUAUGAGCGACAGUCAAUACUGUGGCCUUGGUAACAAUAGCUACAAAAGCUGUGACGAAUGCAUGGAAAAUUGCACAACUCCAGUCUGUGUUGAAGCACUUACCCCACCACCGGAACCGCACUACGAUAUCUGGGAACUAGGAUAAUCGAUGCAAAUGACCAGAAGCAAACCUGGAUCCACGCUUCUGGCAGCGUCCUUCAUUAUUCUCAAUCCACUCCUUGGCAGCCCAGGAAGUAUUCAAGAGCAAUACGCAAGCCAUUUCUGCAACACGCACACACAACACAUUUCCAAUUUCACCAUUACCUUCAUUCAGUUUUUUUGUUAUAAUUUUCCUCUUUCAAAUAAGCAGAUACGUCUAAUAAAUUGUGAGUUGUGGAAUAUGA